rnacentral:rRNA from 1 species
UACGUAGGGUGCAAGCGUUAUCCGGAAUUAUUGGGCGUAAAGGGCUCGUAGGCGGUUUGUCGCGUCGGGAGUGAAAACACCGGGCUUAACUCGGUGCUGGCUUUCGAUACGGGCAGACUAGAGGUAUUCAGGGGAGAACGGAAUUCCUGGUGUAGCGGUGAAAUGCGCAGAUAUCAGGAGGAACACCGGUGGCGAAGGCGGUUCUCUGGGAAUGUCCUGACGCUGAGGAGCGAAAGUGUGGGGAGCGAACAGG